rnacentral:lncRNA from 1 species
AACUUGUUUGAUAUUGACUUUUUAAAGGUUUACUCGAUUAGACGGAGCGCUAAAGACACUAAUAUGGAAUCCCCAAUCUUCUUCUUGAAAAGAGUUCAUCCAAGAACUAACUGAACUGUAAGGCAGCAAAAACGGUGGAGAUAGUUGAACUAAAGAAUGAGAAAUUGGACAGAUUUGUGCUUUUAGUAGUUUUUACAGAUUUGGGAGUCUAGCAUCUUAUCAUUUUGACAUACUGUUGUUAUGUUUUAUUGGUAAAUGGUAUUGAUAAUUUUGAUUUUUAAUGUUAAUUUGUUGAUGCCAACUUCCCUGCAUCCAUUAGACUUGUGUUGCUUAUACGUAACAUCAUUAGUGAUUAUUAAUUCCCUCAUGGUGCAAUCUAAUAAUGCCAAGUUUCCAAAUUUCAUUACGUUUAUCUUAGAUGUAUGUCAUUUCAAACUGUACAAUGUAUUGUUUUUAUCAUAAAUUUUGUAGUGAAGUUGGGCAUUCUGUGCAUUCCAAAAUGUUAAAUAAGAUUCAAUGUUAAUCACAAUACUGGCGUACAAGUUCAUCAAUAAGUUUCAAAUUACCAAUUCCAUGAAAGAGUCUCUCAACAUCUGAAACACUUUUGUUUAAAUGCCAAUUAUGGAACUUGUUAAUGAAUAGACAGCUGUUUUGCACAAUAUCAUUUCGCAAGUCCAUCGCAUGACAUUACACCUAAUUGUUAACGGAGUCUUUUAUACAAAAUUAUUUUGUUAAGUGCGAGAUAUAAACCGUCUACUUAAAAAUCGAUCAAAUUGUUGUUUUCACAACCAAAAGAAAAAAAAUUAAAUUAAAUUAAACUUCAUCAUCAAAUCAUGGAAAUUACAGUUAAUGGUAACCUUAUUUGUAGAAGCCAAAAAUCCACUGGCAUAGUACAUGUCAAUGGGACUCUAUAUUGCACCAUCAAUGGUGGUUCCAAUAGCCCUGCAACCCCAAUUUUUCCUAGUAACUUGCAUCAUAUUUCAAUAUGAAAGAAAUCCCCGAUCAAUGUCAACAUGUCCUUCUCUACAUGACUAAUAAAUAAAUUUAUAAUUUUAGACGAGAUGAUUUACCUAUGUGAUGCUAACUAGAGUUGAUUGUAAUUUAUGCAGGUGUUUCAGUAUAACUAGUUGCUAGCCUGCAAAUCCGGUAGCCUGUAAUAAUGCAGCUGUAAGGUAUGAUAUAACGGUGAUAACUUGAAAUGCAACGUUGAAUAUAGUAUUGUAGUCUUGCAAUGUAGUUGUCAACAUACAUCUUCCCCAACUGCAAUGCAAUCCUACCAUUAACUGGAUGCCUCAUUACGCCAUUAAAUCAACCAGUUAUUGACAUCAAACCCAAUCCAACUCAAACCGUUUGCAAGUGAAUGUCAAAGCCAUCAAAUCCACCAAUUGUUUUGAAUACUCAUCCGAGACUUGAUACAAGAAUCAUUUGAUACUUAUACUUUUUGCCAAGGUAAAUAGUCACACAAUAUCAAACAUGUUCAUGUUAUAUCCCAUAUUUCAUAAAAACUUACAACAGACGUUCGAACAUGGAAGGGGGGGGGGGACAAAUACACAAUUAUAUGCAGUCAGUGUUGAAUCAUAUUACAUGCCAACAAGUAAUCAGUUAUCACAAAAUAAUAUCUAUUCAUUUGCUGGAAAAUGAAAAGUUAAAAUCAUAACAACUUCAAUUUUUAUUUUAUUUUUUAUUUUUUGUGAUCACGAGAUGAAGAAGAUGAAAAAUUAUAGUGCUACAUUCAACAUUGUUAAGGUGAUUUUAAAUGGAUAUUUUUUAGAAAGAGAGAUUAAUUUGGAGUUAAAUUAGAUCUACUUAAUCUAUGCCUUCUUUAAAUUUGUCAAUUACAUUGUAUAAUAAAUAUAUAUAAAAUGCAAUAAGAGUAAUUAAAGGUAGUAUUUUCAGUUAUAUUUUAUAUGGUAAAUAGUGUAUUAUGUAUAUAAAAUAGUAUGUAGUAUUUUAUAAAAUAAUAUAAUUUUGUUGGGUAGAUAUGAUUUUUUCCCAUAAUAAAUAAGGAAUUGAUAUUGGGUCUAAAUCAAGUGGGAGACUGUAACUAUUAAGUACUAAGCUCAAUUGUUGGUUGGACUUAAUAAUUACUAUUGAACUAAGAUUCAUUAAUUAGAUUAAUCUUUUAGGCAAAUAGAAUCUGUGAAAAUUUAUAUAUAUAGUCAAUCCAUAUUUAGAGUUUAAGACUUAUUAUUAAAAACCUUUAGCCGAGGCAAUUGCCAAGGAAUGUGGUGGCUUAGCUUUAGCUAUAAUUGUCAUUGAAGCAUCUAUAGGGGAAAAUAUCAAUUGUUGCAUUUCAUAAAUCAUAAGGAUGCCUUAAGCACCUUGUAAAAGCCAGUCCCUUUAUAAAAGGAAUUGAAGAUAAGGUAAAUUAUACCUUAAAAUGGAGAUAUGAUUUAUUGCAUGACGAGUAUAUCAAAUGUUUUUUUCUGCUUUUCUGUUUGUAUCUAAAGGCCUUGACAAUUGAUGUAUGUGAACUUGUUUGAUAUUGACUUUUUAAAGGUUUACUCGAUUAGACGGAGCGCUAAAGACACUAAUAUGGAAUCCCCAAUCUUCUUCUUGAAAAGAGUUCAUCCAAGAACUAACUGAACUGUAAGGCAGCAAAAACGGUGGAGAUAGUUGAACUAAAGAAUGAGAAAUUGGACAGAUUUGUGCUUUUAGUAGUUUUUACAGAUUUGGGAGUCUAGCAUCUUAUCAUUUUGACAUACUGUUGUUAUGUUUUAUUGGUAAAUGGUAUUGAUAAUUUUGAUUUUUAAUGUUAAUUUGUUGAUGCCAACUUCCCUGCA